GACUUAAAAUAUUAAAGGAUUUUUUUCUUGAUGUCUUUGGGCGACGGGACAUCUUUCACUAUCAUUGGGGAGUUGUACUCAAUCCUGGCCUGUCCGAGGCUUACCUUAUCCAUUACAACUGUAGUUACCGAGUGAGAUGGACUUUGAUGUACACUAAUGAAGUCUUACUCCUUCUCAAGGAGAUAGAUCAUCUUUUACCAAGAUAGGACAGCUUAUAUUCAUAUCUUUUCAAUUGUACAACAUUUCUGUAUAAUAAUUAUACUGAGAUAUUUAGCUGUUGUUUAAUUAGUAAUUACUGUGUGGUGUGUAAA